UACGUAGGGUGCGAGCGUUGUCCGGAAUUAUUGGGCGUAAAGAGCUCGUAGGUGGCGUGUCGCGUCUGCCGUGAAAGCCCAUGGCUUAACUGUGGGUCUGCGGUGGAUACGGGCAGGCUGGAGGCUGGUAGGGGCAAGCGGAAUUCCUGGUGUAGCGGUGAAAUGCGCAGAUAUCAGGAGGAACACCGGUGGCGAAGGCGGCUUGCUGGGCCAGUUCUGACGCUGAGACGCGAAAGCGUGGGUAGCAAACAGG
rnacentral:rRNA from 1 species